GACGAACGCUGGCGGCGUGCCUGACACAUGCAAGUCGGACGGUUCUUGUACCUUCAAGCUUGCUUGUUGGUGCAAGGAUAGUGGCGGACGGGUGAGUAACGCGUGAACAUCUACCCAUUGGAGGGGGACAACCCGUCGAAAGGCGGGCUAAUACCGCGUAAGCCGCGAGGUGAGAGGCUGCCUAUUGGUGGCCGCCGAUGGAUGGGUUCGCGUCCUAUCAGCUGGUUGGUGGGGUAACGGCCUACCAAGGCGAAGACGGGUAGCCGGUCUGAGAGGACGACCAGCCACACUGGAACUGAGACACGGUCCAGACUCCUACGGGAGGCAGCAGUGGGGAAUUUUGGACAAUGGGCGCAAGCCUGAUCCAGCAAUGCCGCGUGCAGGACGAAGGCCUUCGGGUUGUAAACUGCUUUUGUACGGAACGAAACGGUCCUUUCUAAUAAAGAGGGCUAAUGACGGUACCGUAAGAAUAAGCACCGGCUAACUACGUG
rnacentral:rRNA from 1 species